rnacentral:rRNA from 1 species
AUUGAACGCUGGCGGCAUGCCUUACACAUGCAAGUCGAACGGCAGCACGGGAGCAAUCCUGGUGGCGAGUGGCGGACGGGUGAGUAAAGUAUCGGAACGUGCCCAGUCGUGGGGGAUAACGUAGCGAAAGUUACGCUAAUACCGCAUACGACCUAUGGAUGAAAGCGGGGGAUCGCAAGACCUCGCGCGAUUGGAGCGGCCGAUAUCAGAUUAGGUAGUUGGUGGGGUAAAGGCUCACCAAGCCGACGAUCUGUAGCUGGUCUGAGAGGACGACCAGCCACACUGGGACUGAGACACGGCCCAGACUCCUACGGGAGGCAGCAGUGGGGAAUUUUGGACAAUGGGCGCAAGCCUGAUCCAGCCAUGCCGCGUGCAGGAUGAAGGCCUUCGGGUUGUAAACUGCUUUUGUACGGAACGAAAAGGUUUGACUUAAUACGUUGGACUCAUGACGGUACCGUAAGAAUAAGCACCGGCUAACUACGUGCCAGCCGCCGCGGUAA